UACGUAGGGGGCAAGCGUUGCCCGGAUUUAUUGGGCGUAAAGAGCUCGUAGGUGGUUUGGUAAGUCGGAUGUGAAAUCUCCAGGCUCAACCUGGAGGGGUCAUUCGAUACUGCCAUGACUAGAGGUCGGUAGGGGAGUGUGGAAUUCCUGGUGGAGCGGUGAAAUGCGCAGAAUAUCAGGAGGAACACCGGUGGCGAAGGCGG
rnacentral:rRNA from 1 species